rnacentral:lncRNA from 1 species
GUGGCCAUGCAAUUGCUGAAGUAGCCAAGCUCCUGUGCAUUGUAAAUGUCAGCCUUGUUCCAACACCUCUGCUAAGAUAUGGAGUUACCAGUAAGGAGCUCCACCGUGACUCUCCUCCCUGCUCCGUUGCCCCGACGAGGAAGUGUGAAAACGUUUCUGGCUCCAUCCAAGAGUUACUUCCCUGAAGAAGAGAGGGCUUUGUUGAAGUCUUCCCAUGCUUUCUGCACAGGGCUCUGGCCUUGGAGAAGGGAUUUCCAGUUACCGCAGUGUCACUUGGCCCUGGGUCUCCUCCCGGGAGAGAGAAGUGUACGGCUCCCAAGGUUCCUGGCAGUUUUGAAAGAGCUCUCAGCCACAGCCAGCUUUACUUUGAUCACGCAUCUUCUAUCCUCAUUUUAUCUCGGUUGCCUGUUUUCAGCAUAGAAAAGAAGCACCAAGUUCACGUCCUUGCUUUGACCCAAAGAAUCAGAUGCACAGCUCAAAAUGCACAAGGAAACCCGGGAAAGCAGCGAGAGAGGAACAGUGGUUUCACCGAACGACGCCAGAGCAAGCCUCAUCUGUUCUCCUUCAGCCUCAGAAGCUGGGAAGUCAGGUCUGGACAGGCGGGGCUCUGCCACCAUGAUGUGCAACUGGGUGAGUGCUGCCCCAGCAGUCAGUGACCUCCUGGGGCCAAUACCAGUGUGGUUUCCAGGGAAAUCCGACUUUCUCCAGGGAGCUGCUUCCAUGCAUUGCAAUCCCAUCUGGAUUUACUGAGUGUCUAGUGUGCC